GAUGAAGAACGCAGCGAAAUGCGAUACGUAAUGUGAAUUGCAGAAUUCAGUGAAUCAUCGAGUCUUUGAACGCACAUUGCGCCCCCUGGUAUUCCGGGGGGCAUGCCUGUCCGAGCGUCAUUGCUGCCCUCAAGCACGGCUUGUGUGUUGGGCCCCCGUCCCCGGUUUCCCCCGGGGACGGGCCCGAAAGGCAGCGGCGGCACCGCGUCCGGUCCUCGAGCGUAUGGGGCUUUGUCACCCGCUCUGUAGGCCCGGCCGGCGCCAGCCGACACCCAACUUUAUUUCUAAGGUUGACCUCGGAUCAGGUAGGGAUACCCGCUGAACUUAAGCAUAUCAAUAAGCGGAGGA
rnacentral:misc_RNA from 1 species